GCCUUCCCUGGGAGGGGGUGUGUGUGCUGGCAGCAGACCUGUGGCAAAUGCCUUUGCAAUACUGCAAGCAGGGAGUAGAUCUGUUCAUGGUUUGGUACAGAAACACAGUGGAAGUCAGGUCCAGAGAACAGCUAUUUAAUUAAAGGUAGCAUGGCAGAUGAGACGGGAAUGCGUCGUGGUUCUAUGUAACAGGGUCAAAACCAUCUGGAAACCACGUCCAGCAACCUUAGCUUUGCAUACUUUUAAUACAGUAAAUACAACCAGAAAGAAAGUAUCUGACUUUUUUAAAUGGAUCUGUUGACCAUAAUUCAACUGAUCAGUUGUUGCAUGUUCAAAUUCUAACCAGACUUACUGUAGUGUGUUCUGUUCCCAAGGUCACCAAAGAUAGAGUGCAGCAUCUGGAAAGCCACCUACUCUAGCUUAUCCCUUGUGUGCUAGCUUUUUUUGAGGUUAAAGAAGUUGAUUGGUGACAAGAACCUUCUGUUUGGUUAAUUUAUGCUGAUGUGAAGUUGUGUGCUAGAAUGCUGGUAACUGAAGGAAGCAUUUCCAUGAUUUUCAGAUAAGCAAGAUGUACAUUAGAUGCAAUACCGCAUUGCGGUAUUUUGACCAAAAUCCUAGCAUACUGAUUUCCAUUUUAGUUCUGAUGAGCGCAGGCCUGAAGUGAAGUGGUAGGAGGGGAGAAGAGGAAUAGUAGAAAGUGCUAACACUUUGAAAAUACCUAGAAGACUUCUAAAAGAUAGAAAACCAAUGAAACCUUGGGACAGCCUACAGGCAAACCUAACUUGUCUCCAACAUGCAUCUAGUCUGGAAUUUCAUCGUACCUCUGAUUGAGGAAAGAAAGACCAAUUAACUCGGGAAAACAUGGAUUGCAUUACAUAUGCAUUCACUGCCAAAGGGGGAGAAUGUCGAUUACUUAACACAAAAGUGCUGGAGCCAUUAGUACAGCCUUUUAGAGUUGAAAUAAACAUGUGUAUUAUAUGCCUGUAAAUCCCGAUGGACAGCAUGACUGGUGUCAUAUUCCACAGUGGAUCCAUUAGCAAUAUAAUGUCAUCUAACCACAGGCCAUGCUAAUGGUUUAAAUUAGAAUGUGUGGGUGUUUUUUUAAUUUAUAAACGACACUGCUGUGCGAUUAAAAUAAACCUCUUCAGCACAGAACCGCUUCUUUCAUGAAAGCCUUUGUGAUGCAUCACUUCAAGCAAUAUCAGUGAAUGGGAAGGUGCGAAACUAAGAUUUCUGAGCGUGCAAGAACUAACAAAGGGUUCAGCCAAAUAAAAUGCAUUCAUGUAGUGCUUGAUAGCACAGAAAAAGGGACUGGAAUGUCUUAAAAAGCAACUGAAUUCCAAUUUUGGGCAGGUGACAAAGGACAUACAAUGGUAUGUCUGUGCAAACCUGAUUCAUAGCUGAAAAUAAUUGGCUCCACCAUGCUAUGGACAACAGUGCCCCACUGGUAGUAGUGAUGCUAAUUGCUAUGAGUAGAGAAAGGAGUAGUUGUCGCGGGUCCAACACAGAAAAGAAUGUGUGUAAAGCAAAAUCUAAAAAUCAAAACCAUGACCUCAGCACAGAAAACAGAAGGUAGUAUGAACUUGGGAGCUCUUACCCUCUUUCAUGAUUGCCUUAAAUGUCUCUGCCAAACAUAUGAAGGAUACUACUGGAGGUUUAAACCUUUUCCGAAGACACAGUGCUCGUGUCCUGUACAGCUUCCCACAUAAUUGAUCUAUCAAAGCACUUCACCAGAAGUCUGUGUUACACUGGAAUGCUACUGAUUCAUGUUCUCUUCUGGAGCUGGGGGACAGACUGCAGACCUUGAUGCUUUAUAGCUAACCAAUACCACUGUUCGCAGUGCUUCCCUUAAAGUUGUCCAUCUACUACUGUUUCCUUCUGAAAAUGCAGAUGUUUCUCUUUUCUCAUCUUUCAUAUCACUUAUGAGCUUAAAAAUUCAUGUUCAAGUGAAGAUAAACUGUUAAGUACAGUAAAUAAAGAGCUCCUUACAGA